GGAGAGCUUAAAGAGGACAUUAAAGGCUUUGUACCAUCCAUUGAACCAGUAUGUUGUACACUUAGACCUUGAAGCACCAGCUGAUGAGAGGUUAGAGUUAGUGAACUUUGUAAAAAGGGAACCUUUAUUUGUUGAAGUUGGGAAUGUGAGAGUAGUUGUGAGAUCUAAUUUGGUUACUUAUAGAGGACCUACUAUGGUUAGUAAUACACUUCAUGCUGCUGCUAUUUUGCUUAAGGAAGGUGGUGAGUGGGAUUGGUUCAUUAAUCUUAGUGCUUCUGAUUAUCCUUUGGUGACACAAGAUGAUUUACUUCAUACUUUUUCAACCGUGCCAAGAGAACUUAAUUUUAUUGAGCAUACAAGUGACAUUGGAUGGAAGGAAUAUCACAGAGCCAGGCCUGUAAUAAUUGAUUCAGGGCUGUACAGCCUGAAUAAAUCAGAUCUCUUCUGGAUCCCGCAGAAAAGGAGUAUGCCAACAGCAUUUAAACUAUUCACAGGCUCUGCUUGGACGAUGCUCUCUCGCCCCUUUAUGGAGUACCUUUUAUGGGGGUGGGAUAACCUUCCAAGAAUAGUCUUAAUGUACUAUGCCAACUUCCUUUCAACGCCUGAAGGAUAUUUCCACACUGUCAUAUGUAAUGCAGAAGAGUUCCUGAACACUACAGUGAAUCACGACCUUCAUUUCAUAUCCUGGGAUAACCCUCCAAAGCAACAUCCACAUGUUCUAACUCUUAAGGAUUACAAGAACAUGGUUGACAGCAAUGCA
rnacentral:misc_RNA from 1 species